rnacentral:rRNA from 1 species
CAAGUCAGAGGUGAAAGCCUGGGGCUCAACCCCAGAACUGCCUUUGAUACUGGCAAGCUAGAGUAUGGUAGAGGAAAGUGGAACUUCCAGUGUAGGGGUGAAAUCCGUAGAUAUUGGAAGGAACACCAGUGGCGAAAGCGGCUUUCUGGACCAUAACUGACGCUCAGAUGCGAAAGCGUGGGUAGCAAACAGGAUUAGAUACCCUGGUAGCCCACGCCCUAAACGAUGAGUGCUAGAUGUUGGGGUUUUAAAACUUCAGUGUCACAGUUAACGCGUUAAGCACUCCGCCUGGGGAGUACGGCCGCAAGGUUAAAACUUAAAGGAAUUGACGGGGACCCGCACAAGCGGUGGAGCAUGUUGUUUAAUUCGAAGAUACGCGAAAAACCUUACCAGCCCUUGACAUCCUGGUCGCGAUUUUGAGAGAUCAUUAUCAUCAGUUCGGCUGGACCAGUGACAGAUGCUGCAUGGUUGUCGUCAGCUCGUGUCGUGAGAUGUUGGGUUAAGUCCCGCAACGAGCGCAACCCUCGCUGCUAGUUGCCAUCAGGUUAUGCUGGGCACUCUAGCGGAACUGCCGGUGAUAAGCCGGAGGAAGGUGGGGAUGAUGUCAAAUCAUCAUGGUUCUUACGGGCUGGGCUACAAACGUGCUACAAUGGUGACUACAGUAAGCAGCAAACUCGCAAGGGUAAGCUAAUCUUAAAAAGUCAUCUCAGUUCGGAUUGUCCUCUGCAACU